rnacentral:rRNA from 1 species
AUUGAACGCUGGCGGCAUGCUUUACACAUGCAAGUCGAACGGUAACAGGCCUUCGGGCGCUGACGAGUGGCGAACGGGUGAGUAAUGCAUCGGAACGUGCCCAGUCGUGGGGGAUAACGCAGCGAAAGCUGUGCUAAUACCGCAUACGAUCUGCGGAUGAAAGCGGGGGACCUUCGGGCCUCGCGCGAUUGGAGCGGCCGAUGUCAGAUUAGGUAGUUGGUGGGGUAAAGGCUGGCCAAGCCAACGAUCUGUAGCUGGUCUGAGAGGACGACCAGCCACACUGGGACUGGGACACGGCCCAGACUCAUACGGGAGGCAGCAGUGGGGAAUGUUGGACAAUGGGCGCAAGCCUGAUCCAGCAAUGCCGCGUGCAGGAAGAAGGCCUUCGGGUUGUAAACUGCUUUUGUACGGAGCGAAGAGGCUCCCUCUAAUACAGGGGGCUCAUGACGGUACCGUAAGAAUAAGCACCGGCUAACUACGUGCCAGCAGCCGCAGUAAGAC